rnacentral:rRNA from 1 species
GGUGGAUCAGUGGCGAACGGGUGAGUAACACGUGAGCAACCUGCCCUGAACUCUGGGAUAAGCGCUGGAAACGGUGUCUAAUACUGGAUAUGAGCUGCGAAGGCAUCUUCGUGGUUGGAAAGAUUUUUCGGUUUGGGAUGGGCUCGCGGCCUAUCAGCUUGUUGGUGAGGUAAUGGCUCACCAAGGCGUCGACGGGUAGCCGGCCUGAGAGGGUGACCGGCCACACUGGGACUGAGACACGGCCCAGACUCCUACGGGAGGCAGCAGUGGGGAAUAUUGCACAAUGGGCGGAAGCCUGAUGCAGCAACGCCGCGUGAGGGAUGACGGCCUUCGGGUUGUAAACCUCUUUUAGCAGGGAAGAAGCGAAAGUGACGGUACCUGCAGAAAAAGCGCCGGCUAACUACGUGCCAGCAGCCGCGGUAAUACGUAGGGCGCAAGCGUUAUCCGGAAUUAUUGGGCGUAAAGAGCUCGUAGGCGGUUUGUCGCGUCUGCUGUGAAAUCUGGGGGCUCAACCCCCAGCCUGCAGUGGGUACGGGCAGACUAGAGUGCGGUAGGGGAGAUUGGAAUUCCUGGUGUAGCGGUGGAAUGCGCAGAUAUCAGGAGGAACACCGAUGGCGAAGGCAGAUCUCUGGGCCGUAACUGACGCUGAGGAGCGAAAGGGUGGGGAGCAAACAGGCUUAGAUACCCUGGUAGUCCACCCCGUAAACGUUGGGAACUAGUUGUGGGGUCCAUUCCACGGAUUCCGUGACGCAGCU